GCACAAGCAGCGGAGCGUGUGGUUUAAUUCGACGUAACACGAAGAACCUUACCGGGUUGACAUGUACAUGUAAUCUCGUGAAAGCGAGACCCCCGCAAGGGCGUGUACACAGGUGUUGCAUGGCUGUCGUCAGCUCGUGCCGUGAGGUGUUGGGUUAAGUCCCGCAACGAGCGCAACCCUUGUCGCCAGUUGAUCUCUCUGGCGAGACUGCCGAGUUUAACUCGGGGAAGGCGGGGAUGACGUCAAGUCAGCAUGGCCCUUAUAUCCUGGGCUACACACACGCUACAAUGGCCAACACAAUAGGUUGCUAAGCCGCGAGGUGGCGCCAAUCCAUAAAGUUGGUCUCAGUUCAGAUUGUAGGCUGCAACCCGCCUGCAUGAAGAUGGAGUUGCUAGUAACCGCAGGUCAGCUAUACUGCGGUGAAUACGUUCCCGGGGCUU
rnacentral:rRNA from 1 species